rnacentral:misc_RNA from 1 species
GAUGAAGAACGUAGCGAAAUGCGAUAAGUAAUGUGAAUUGCAGAAUUCCGUGAAUCAUCGAAUCUUUGAACGCACAUUGCGCCCCCUGGCAUUCCGGGGGGCAUGCCUGUCCGAGCGUCAUUUCUGCCCUCCAGCCCGGCUGGGUGUUGGGCGCUGUCCCCCCGGGGAUACGCCCCAAAGGCAGUGGCGGCGCCGCGUCGGGUCCUCGAGCGUAUGGGGCUUUGUCACCCGCUCGGGACGGACUCGUCGGCGCUGGUCUUCCUCCAGGCGACCCUUCGGGGCUCGUCUUCCUUCGGUUGACCUCGGAUCAGGUAGGGUUACCCGCUGAACUUAAGCAUAUCAAUAAGCGGAGGA